rnacentral:rRNA from 1 species
GAUGAACGCUGGCGGCGUGCCUAAUACAUGCAAGUCGAGCGAACGGACGAGAAGCUUGCUUCUCUGAUGUUAGCGGCGGACGGGUGUGUAACACGUGUAUAACCUACCUAUAAGACUGGGAUAACUUCGGGAAACCGGAUCUAAUACCGUAGGAUAUUCUGAUCCGCAUGGUUCAAAGGUGAAAGACGGUCGUGCUGUCACUAAUAGAUGGAUCUGCGCUGCUUUAGCUAGUUGGUAGGGUAACGGCUUACCAAGGCAACGAUGCGUAGCCGACCUCACAGGGUGAUCGGCCACCCUGGAACUGAGACGCGGUCCUGACUCCUACGGGACGCAGCAGUAGGGAAUCUUCCGCAAUGGGCGAAAGCCUGACGGAGCGGCGCCGCGUGAGAGAUGAAGGUCUUCCGAUCGUAAAACUCUGUUAUUAGGGAAGAACAUAUGUGGAAGUAACUGUGCACAGCUUGACGGUAACUAAUCAGAAAGCCCCGGCUAACUACGUG